UCUGGCUCAGGUGCCUGACUUAGGGCAAAGCCCUGCCCAUUCAGCAGGGGUGGAGAAGGGGAUUCCUGGCUUUAAAAGCCCUUCACAGGGUCUGGCUGCCCCCUGGAAUGUCCCCAAGGAGGGUGUGUGGUGAUGGGUCCUGUGUUGCCUCAUCUUGCUGCUUCCAGAUCCAUGGGAGAAGGAUCGGGGAAAGCAACAGCAGCCCAUGAAGUAUUUGGCAAACAGCUCCUUUUGUGCUGCGCAAGCCAAAUCCUGAUGAUACCCAUGCUCCUACUGACCCCUUGAAUUGCACGUGUUGACAGCAUGGGACACGAGGAUACGUCUCCAGCAGGGAUGGAAAUACCCGAGCUGCAGCCCUGAGCAUGGCCGAGGUGGGGUCGGUGGUGCUGCCGUUCAGCAGGGCUGCCAGCUGGUUCCCCGGGUAAAUCUAUUUUCGCUUGCUUGCCGCUCGGUGAAACUUUAACCUUUGGGGCCCGGACAUCGCCUUCCUGCUGGCUUCCAGCACCAGGGACUGGCAGCAGCUGGUGAAACUGGAAGGAGCCCGGAGCCCCAGCAUGGUCUGGGUGCUGUGCCCAGCAGAUCCGCGAUGCUCUCACCCCAGGGGCUGCCAAGAUGAGGGUUUAGGGGGGAUCCUCUGGUGGUCCCAAACAAAACGCAGCAGGUAUGGAAAGCACAAGGAGCUGCAAGGGCACGUGCUGGUGGAAAAUACCGGGGUAGGGGCUUGGUGUCCACGCCUCGGCUGGUAAAUCCCUGGGGGAUGUUGGCGAAGGGAGCGGGGGUCUCCUGCCUGUACCCGCAUGGCCCCGGGGGGCUCUGCCUCUCCACACCCCCGCUGUGCCCCCAGCACCAAACCGGGCCUUGGCGGGUGCAGGGAAGGUGAUGCUGGUCCCUGGUGGUGUGGGAGCAUCCCUAAAUUGUGUCCAUGAGGACAUCGAGAUCUCCCCUUCCCAAAAACCUGUGCCCUGGAGCAGCGGGAUGAGGCGGGGGGAGCCCCUUGCCACGGCUCUAUUUAUUGGCACCCUCAGGGGAGGGGAGAGCACGGCGAGGGCAGGGCAAGCGACAUGGAGAAAAAAAAUCACCCAAACACUACUUUCUCCCCCAAACGAGAGGCAGGCGACCGCUUGAAGCCAGGCCAGGCCGCAGGGCUCGGAGCCGCGUUUCCUGCAGCAGGGCCGCAGGGGGGGGCCCGGCUGCGGCGCGCAGCCCUGCGCCUCCCACCCCGCCGGAAAACUUAAUUUAGCGGGCUGAGAAACGCGAAAAGCCGCGCUUCCUCCAGGACCUCCACGCCGGUGGGAUCGGCGAAAGGCUUUCCAUAAAUAAACGCACCGAUAAAUAAAUAACCCGAGCUCCUCCCUGCGCUGCGCGCCGCCACUUCCUCCUGCCCGCCGCCCGCUGGGGCUGUGUGGGGCUGGGGCUGU